UACGGAGGGGGCUAGCGUUGUUCGGAAUUACUGGGCAUAAAGCGCGCGUAGGCGGCUUUGUAAGUUAGAGGUGAAAGCCCGGGGCUCAACCCCGGAACUGCCUUUAAGACUGCAUCGCUUGAAUCCAGGAGAGGUGAGUGGAAUUCCGAGUGUAGAGGUGAAAUUCGUAGAUAUUCGGAAGAACACCAGUGGCGAAGGCGGCUCACUGGCCUGGUAUUGACGCUGAGGUGCGAAAGCGUGGGGAGCAAACAGG
rnacentral:rRNA from 1 species